rnacentral:rRNA from 1 species
UACGUAGGGCGCAAGCGUUGUCCGGAAUUGUGGGGCGUAAAGAGCUCGUAGGCGGUUUGUCGCGUCUGCUGUGAAAACCUAAGGCUCAACCUUGGGCUUGCAGUGGGUACGGGCAGACUAGAGUGCGGUAGGGGUGACUGGAAUUCCUGGUGUAGCGGUGAAAUGCGCAGAUACUCAGGAGGAACACCGGUGGCGAAGGCGGGUCUCUGGGCCGGUACUGACGCUGGAGACGCGAAAGCGUGGGAGCGAACAGG